AUGUCAAUCUAUUCAUCUACCCUCCUCGAUUUCUUUUCACGGAACUUCUUAACUAAGCCAUCGCCGGAGGCCACUGCACCCAAGCCCUCAUCAUACGAUGUCAUCCACGCCGGCGAGCACACGUUAAAGGUUGCGGUGCACUCCAUGCUCAAAGAAGGCGAUACAAUGCUCACGUCCGGGCCCUUCAGCGUCGGCGGUCACGACUGGGCUAUCGCCUACUUUCCAAACGGCGACUCCAGGAUUGUCGACGGGCAGUUCACGUCUGUUUUUCUCAAGUUGCUGAGUGCCAGCGAGGACGAGGUCACGGCGACCUACACCUUCAGUCUCCAGGAUCCUGCAUGGUCUGUGACCGGAGAGAAGAACAAACGCGGACCCGCCACCGCGAAGUUCUCGUCCAACCAGCUAGGUUGGGGUACUCCUAAGUUUGUUAGUAAAGCCGCUCUGACCGCGUCCGGGUGCCUCAAGGAUGAUUGCCUGGUGAUCAAGUGCACCGUCAAGAUUGUUACCACCAAACUCAUGAAAGACCAUGAAGACGAUGGGGACGACAACAGCGUUGUCGUGUGCCACCCUCCGAUCUCCACAGCCUUCUUGAUAGCGAGCUCAAGCCGGACAAGACUGUUAAGAUCGGUUGGUUCAAGAGAUUCAAGGUGCAUGGGCGCGUGCUCGCUGCACAGUCUCCGGUCUUUCGUGCCCUGGUGGAGAGCAAGAGAAACUGCAUCCGCGUUGACGAUAUGGAUGUCAACGUCUUCGAGGUACUGCUGCACUACGUGUACAAUGAGACUCUGCCCGACUUCAUGGAGGAGACCACGGAACAUGCUUUAA
rnacentral:rRNA from 1 species